rnacentral:rRNA from 1 species
UACGUAGGGUGCAAGCGUUAAUCGGAAUUACUGGGCGUAAAAGCGUGCGCAGGCGGUGAUGUAAGACAGAUGUGAAAUCCCCCGGGCUCAACCUGGGACCUGCAUUUGUGACUGCAUCGCUAGAGUACGGUAGAGGGGGAUGGAAUUCCGCGUGUAGCAGUGAAAUGCGUAGAUAUGCGGAGGAACACCGAUGGCGAAGGCAAUCCCCUGGACCUGUACUGACGCUCAUGCACGAAAGCGUGGGGAGCAAACAGG